UAAUCGAGACAAAUAAGGAAGGCAAAAGAAAACAACUUCUUCAGGUCCAGCCAGGUGCCAGCAGACGACAAGCAUGUUUUGCUGCAAAUGUGGUAUACUGGCAGCAGAAAAUGCAAAGUUUUGCCAUAUUUGUGGAUUAGGUUAGUAUCAACAACCAGGAAAUUUUAACAUUUAUAGCACUGGUAGCUUUUUUAACAGAAAGGCUUUUCAUGUUUAGAUUUUAGACGGUCGAGAAACAGUGCAGGUGGGGACGAAGAAAUGCAUUGUUUUGUACAGCCUUCAGCAAUUGGAGAAGUCGAUAAAGGUUUUAUACAACCUACAGUGAAAUCUUUCGAAAAAUUUAGGCAAGAAAAGGGGCGCCAAUGGAAGGACAGAGUAAAGGGGAAAAAAGAAAGGAAAAGCAUGUAAAAGAAGAGGAUGUUACUAUUUGUAUUGGCUUGAUGGAAUGGCGGGAAAGCGAGUGUAAACUUAAAAUCAAACGUGGAAAGAGAAUUUCGUGCAAAGUUUCAAACAUGGAUACGAGAAUGGGUGUGUUGAUAAAGGCAGAAAAUAAGUGGCGACAAUAUCAUCCUGAUUUUUAUGAUACAGAAGAGGAGUAUUGUUUACUUUAUGAGAGUGGGGAGAAAGUUACAACGAUUCCUGGUUGUGAGGAGGAUUUUAUUUUACACAGAUAUCGAGAAGAAGUGGGAAAAGAUUACAAAAGAAUUGUUUUAUACCUUUGCAAAGAAAAUGACUUCAUGAUUACCAAGAAGUUGGACCAGUAUGCAAGUAGUGAUAGUGAUGAGCCACCAUGUAAAUUAAGCCAGCAUUAUGACCCAUUUAUUGGAGGAGAUCAAAGUCAAAGACAAGACGGAAUAUUCCCAUGUGUCAAAUUUUCAAAGUUCAUCUGUCAUAUCAGUAUCACCAGCAAGUAAUAGCGCACUACUCCCAGAAAAUAUGACAUACAUUUCACCAGAAUUGUUAUCAGAUAAUGUUCCAUCCACAAGCAGAGACAAUAAUUCUUACAAGACUUUCUUAUCCUUGUUUGAUGAUGAAGAAGAAGAUGAAUGUGAGAAUGGAGCGAUGCACCAAGCAAUCGUUAAUAGUUUAAAAGACUGUUUACCAGAGGAAAGUGCUUCAGUGAUAUUAUCAAAAUAUAUUUCAGAUAAUUUUAAUGAAAAAAAUGAACAUCCUGUAACUGUGACUGUAAAUCGUCAAUCUGUUUACAAGUCGACCCUGCGUGCUAUACAACGGGAUACUUUCUCUUUUGUUAAGCCUAUGGACAUACAUUUUUCAGGAGAACUUGGAGUACAUGAGGGAGGACCUCGAAGGGAAUUUUUACGUCUUUUGAUGACAGAAAUAGCUCAGAGUCAAUUAUUUAUGAGAGACUGGUUUGCACAUGAUAUUACAUGUUUUCAGAAUAAGCGAUAUGAAUU